UACGAGUGGUGCAAGCGUUAUUCGGAUUUAUUGGGCGUAAAGGGUGUGUAGACGGUUCAUUAAGUCAUUUGUUUAAUCCUCCGGCCUAACCGGAGUACAGCGAGUGAAACUAAUAGACUUGAGGGUGGAAGAGAGAAGUGGAAUUCUCGGAGUAGCGGUAAAAUGCGUAGAUCUCGAGAGGAACACCAAUGGCGAAGGCAGCUUCUUGGUCCAUACCUGACGUUGAAACACGAAAGCGUGGGGAGCAAACAGG
rnacentral:rRNA from 1 species